rnacentral:rRNA from 1 species
UACGGAGGAUGCAAGCGUUGUCCGGAAUCAUUGGGCGUAAAGGGUCCUGAGGUGGUUUGCUCAGUCCAGUGUGAAAGUUCAGGGCUUACCCUUGAAAAUGCGGUGGAAACUAGCAGGCUAGAGUACGGUGGGGGCAGAGGGAAUUCCCGAUGUAGCGGUGAAAUGCAUAGAUAUCGGGAAGAACACCGACGGCGAAGGCACUCUGCUGGGCCGAGACUGACACUGAAAGACGAAAGCCAGGGGAGCGAAUGGG